UACGUAGGGUGCAAGCGUUAAUCGGAAUUACUGGGCGUAAAGCGUGCGCAGGCGGUUAUGUAAGACAGAUGUGAAAUGCCCGGGCUUAACCUGGGAACUGCAUUUGUGACUGCAUGGCUAGAGUUUGGCAGAGGGGGGUAGAAUUCCACGUGUAGCAGUGAAAUGCGUAGAUAUGUGGAGGAACACCGAUGGCGAAGGCAGCCCCUGGGUCAAGACUGACGCUCAUGCACGAAAGCGUGGGGAGC
rnacentral:rRNA from 1 species